CUGGCUCAGGAUGAACGCUGGCGGCGUGCCUAACACAUGCAAGUUGAACGGUCCGGCAUGGAAGCUUGCUGAAGUGUCGGGUAGUAGCGGACGGGUGAGUAAUGCAUGAGAAGCUGCCAUUGGGAGGGGGACAACAGUUGGAAACGGCUGCUAAUACCCCAUAUGCCGGAAGGUGAAACGGAGUAAUCCGCCCGAUGAGGUGCUCAUGUCCUAUCAGCUUGUUGGUGAGGUAACGGCUCACCAAGGCGACGACGGGUAGCCGGCCUGAGAGGGUGACCGGCCACACUGGAACUGAGAUACGGUCCAGACUCCUACGGGAGGCAGCAGUGGGGAAUAUUGGGCAAUGGGGGCAACCCUGACCCAGCGACGCCGCGUGAGGGAAGACGGCCUUCGGGUUGUAAACCUCUUUUGUACGGGAAGAAGGACGUGACGGUACCGUGCGAAUAAGUCCCGGCUAACUACGUGCCAGCAGCGGC
rnacentral:rRNA from 1 species